rnacentral:misc_RNA from 1 species
GAAUAUUUGCUGGUGAGUUUGUAGGACCAAUGUGGUUGGGAGCUGUUAAGGCACUAUGAGAUGCUUGUGUGGGAUUAUUAGAUGAAGAGGGUGUUGGUGAUUGGAAAGCAGAAGGAUUAGAUUGUGCCUGCGGAACCGUGCUAGAGGAACCCGGAGAUGGAAUCUGAACAGAAUUUCCUCCAUAGGGACUGCUUGCGUUAUUCAUUGAAUUUUGUUGUCUUGAAUUCAUAGAAU